UACGAAGGGGGCUAGCGUUGCUCGGAAUUACUGGGCGUAAAGCGCACGUAGGCGGUCUUUUAAGUCGGGGGUGAAAGCCUGGAGCUCAACUCCAGAAUUGCCUUUAAGACUGCAUCGCUUGAAUCCAGGAGAGGUGAGUGGAAUUCCGAGUGUAGAGGUGAAAUUCGUAGAUAUUCGGAAGAACACCAGUGGCGAAGGCGGCUCACUGGACUGGUAUUGACGCUGAGGUGCGAAAGCGUGGGGAGCAACAGGAU
rnacentral:rRNA from 1 species